rnacentral:rRNA from 1 species
AGAGUUUGAUCAUGGCUCAGAGUGAACGCUGGCGGCAGGCCUAAUACAUGCAAGUCGAACGGCAGCACAGUGGAGCUUGCUCCAUGGGUGGCGAGUGGCGGACGGGUGAGGAAUACAUGGGAAUCUGCCCAGUCGUGGGGGAUAACGUAGGGAAACUUACGCUAAUACCGCAUGCGCCCUUCGGGGGAAAGCCGGGGACCGUAAGGCCUGGCGCGAUUGGAUGAGCCCAUGUCGGAUUAGCUAGUUGGCGGGGUAACGGCCCACCAAGGCGACGAUCCGUAGCUGGUCUGAGAGGAUGAUCAGCCACACUGGAACUGAGACACGGUCCAGACUCCUACGGGAGGCAGCAGUAGGGAAUAUUGGACAAUGGGCGCAAGCCUGAUCCAGCCAUGCCGCGUGAGUGAAGAAGGCCCUCGGGUUGUAAAGCUCUUUUGUCCGGAAAGAAAAGCACUGGGUUAAUACCCCGGUGUCCUGACGGUACCGGAAGAAUAAGCACCGGCUAACUUCGUG